AGCUGCUUAACCGAUGCUUUGGCGCUUUAGCUGUAUGAUAGAUUUAAAUACUUCAUAAAGCUAGAUUACCAAAGCAUUGGCUUCCGCAGGC
rnacentral:pre_miRNA from 1 species